rnacentral:rRNA from 1 species
GACGAACGCUGGCGGCGUGCUUAACACAUGCAAGUCGAACGGAAAGGCCCUGCUUGCGGGGUGCUCGAGUGGCGAACGGGUGAGUAACACGUGGGUGAUCUGCCCCUUACUUUGGGAUAAGCCUGGGAAACUGGGUCUAAUACUGGAUAGGACCAUGCUGUCGGUGGUGUGGUGGAAAGAUUAGUUUCGGUAAGGGGUGAGCGCGCGGCCUAUCAGCGUGUUGGUGGGGUAAUGGCCUACCAAGGCGUCGACGGGUGGCCGGCCGGAGAGGGUGGACGGCGACCUUGGGAGGGCGAUACGGCGCAGACGCCUACGGGGGGCAGCAGUGGGGAAUAUUGCACAAUGGGGGCAAGCCUGAUGCAGCGACGCCGCGGGGGGGGUGACGGCCUUCGGGUUGUAAACUCCUUUCAGCCAUGACGAAGCCCUUGUGGUGACGGUAGUGGUAGAAGAAGCACCGGCUAACUACGUG